rnacentral:rRNA from 1 species
UCGAGAAUUUUUCACAAUGGGCGAAAGCCUGAUGAAGCGACGCCGCGUGGGGGAUGAAGGGCUUCGGCCUGUAAACCCCUGUCAUUUGCGACCAAACCUUUUCACCUAACACGUGAAGAGCUGAUUGUAGUGAAAGAGGAAGGGACGGCUAACUCUGUGCCAGCAGCCGCGGUAAUACAGAGGUCCCAAGCGUUGUUCGGAUUUACUGGGCGUAAAGGGUGCGUAGGAGGUGAGGUAAGUGUGGUGUGAAAUCUCCGAGCCUAACUCGGAAACUGCAUUUAAUACUGUCUUGCUUGAGUGUCGGAGGGGAGACUGGAAUUCUCGGUGUAGCAGUGAAAUGCGUAGAUAUCGGGAGGAACACCAGUGGCGAAAGCGAGUCUCUGGACGACACCUGACACUGAGGCACGAAAGCUAGGGGAUCAAACA